GAUGAAGAACGUAGCGAAAUGCGAUACGUAAUGUGAAUUGCAAAUUCAGUGAAUCAUCGAGUCUUUGAACGCACAUUGCGCCCCCUGGUAUUCCGGGGGGCAUGCCUGUCCGAGCGUCAUUGCUGCCCUCAAGCCCGGCUUGGGUGUUGGGCCCCGUCCUCCGAUUCCGGGGGACGGGCCCGAAAGGCAGCGGCGGCACCGCGUCCGGUCCUCGAGCGUAUGGGGCUUUGUCACCCGCUCUGUAGGCCCGGCCGGCGCUUGCCGAUCAACCCAAAUUUUUAUCCAGGUUGACCUCGGAUCAGGUAGGGAUACCCGCUGAACUUAAGCAUAUCAAUAAGCGGAGGA
rnacentral:misc_RNA from 1 species